rnacentral:rRNA from 1 species
CGUAGGCGGCGUGUCACGUCUGCUGUGAAAGACCGGGGCUUAACUCCGGUUUCUGCAGUGGAUACGGGCAUGCUAGAGGUAGGUAGGGGAGACUGGAAAUUCCUGGUGUAGCGGUGAAAUGCGCAGAUAUCAGGAGGAACACCGGUGGCGAAGGCGGGUCUCUGGGCCUUACCUGACGCUGAGGAGCGAAAGCAUGGGGAGCGAACAGGAUUAGAUACCCUGGUAGUCCAUGCCGUAAACGUUGGGCGCUAGGUGUGGGGACUUUCCACGGUUUCCGCGCCGUAGCUAACGCAUUAAGCGCCCCGCCUGGGGAGUACGGCCGCAAGGCUAAAACUCAAAGGAAUUGACGGGGGCCCGCACAAGCGGCGGAGCAUGUUGCUUAAUUCGACGCAACGCGAAGAACCUUACCAAGGUUUGACAUCACCCGUGGACCUGUAGAGAUACAGGGUCAUUUAGUUGGUGGGUGACAGGUGGUGCAUGGCUGUCGUCAGCUCGUGUCGUGAGAUGUUGGGUUAAGUCCCGCAACGAGCGCAACCCUUGUUCCAUGUUGCCAGCACGUAAUGGUGGGGACUCAUGGGAGACUGCCGGGGUCAACUCGGAGGAAGGUGGGGACGACGUCAAGUCAUCAUGCCCCUUAUGUCUUGGGCUGCAAACAUGCUACAAUGGCCGGUACAAUGGGCGUGCGAUACCGUAAGGUGGAGCGAAUCCCUUAAAGCCGGUCUCAGUUCGGAUUGGGGUCUGCAACUCGACCCCAUGAAGGUGGAGUCGCUAGUAAUCGCGGAUCAGCAACGCCGCGGUGAAUACGUUCCCGGGCCUUGUACACACCGCCCGUCACGUCAUGAAAGUCGGCAACACCCGAAACUUGUUGGCCUAACCC